rnacentral:ncRNA from 1 species
GCGUUCCUCGCUGGAGAGAGGCCCGCCGCGAGCGGGCCCACCGAAGGGGCAAGCGCCACCGUGCGAGCGGCGGCGCCAAUCUCUCAGGUAAAGCGGACAGUGGGGGCCGU